AGCAUUAAAUAUUAAAAUAAUCUAAUAUAUACACACUUUAUACAUAAUUAGUAGUAUAUAAUUUUUGUAUAUUUAGCUAACCGUUAGUAAUGUAAUUAUUUAUGGCUGACCAUCUUCAAAAGAAAACAGAUUAAAUUAUGAGAUUUACUGAAAAGACCCUCUGAUAAAUUGACUAUUUUAUCUUCCUGCACCAAAAACAAAAAAGCCUCCCAAUAGAAUAACAUAAUCCAAGAAGAUCUAUUGGUACAUUGCCUUUUGAAGUUCUUGAUCUGUUCUUCUGAUUCCCAUUAAUGACUAAGCUGGAAUCAAUGGAAGACAUAUCAAAGAAGAUGGCAAAGAGGAACCAUGGAUCCACCAAAUUCUUUGUGAUUGUAGAUUAUGUUUACCUCUUCAUAUUCUUUUGUUUCCUUUGCUUCUUUCUUGUCAAAAUGGUUGGAAUUUGAUCCAUCCAGGUGACGGUAAGCUUGUCUGCAGAUCAAAGGAAUGCUGAAUUCGAGAACUUCCGUUGGUUAACUCCAAUUCAAAGUUUAUUUUCUUCACCUUUUGGCUAGUGAGAUUUGGAGAGGAAUGAAGUUGUAAAUGUUCAGUGGUGAGUGAACAAUACAAAUUACAUGUAAACGUUCUUUAUAUAUGCAAACUCCAGUAGAUCUCUUGGUGGACUUGAUUAUCCUUUUAAUGUGAUAUGGAUCUGAAAGUUUGAGCCUCAA